CCAGCUAUGCCUGCACAGAAAACGGAUGGGAUGCGUUGAAGGAUCCUCCUAAUUUAUCACCCAGGGGCUCUUUUCCGUGGAGAGUCAGGCUCUCCUUGCUCCGUUUUGAGAACAAAUUGCAUGUGACACAAGAUAAACUUUACCCCAGCACUGCCUUUGCUGGAGCCAAGGACAUAUCACUGGGCUAUAAUUGGAACCAGAGGCAUCCGGGAUUUUAUAAUUUUUAUAAACAGGCAUACAAGAUUCUGUAAUUAAUAGCAAUGAGAACAAUAAUGAUGAUCCUCCACACUUGGACCCCCCUAAUCCAUAAGAAAUGCUUCCCUGGUGGUUGUGUGGAAGGGAUAAGAGGAUCAGGAAGACACAAUCCAGAUCUCAAUAGAAUGGAUAAUGACCACCUGAAAUUGUGAGAGGGAGUGAUCCUCUCUAUUCAGUCUAUUGAUUCAAAUGCUAAUCCCUUCCAGAAACACCCUCACAGAUGCACUCAGGGAUAUCAUACCAGCUUUCUGGGCAUCCCUUUGCCCAGUAAAGUUGACACAUAAAAUUGACCAUCACAGUAGGCCCUUAACUAAAUCUGCUGAAGGAAUACAUGAGUGCAAGAAUCCCUAUCUCCACUGUGAAGAGGUUUAUAAAUACACAUACCAGAAUGUAAUAUCCUGCAUAUGUAUGUAUGUGUGUGUGUGUAUGUAUGUGUGU